GACGAACGCUGGCGGCGUGCUUAACACAUGCAAGUCGAACGGAAAGGCCCUGCUUUUGUGGGGUGCUCGAGUGGCGAACGGGUGAGUAACACGUGAGUAACCUGCCCUUGACUUUGGGAUAACUUCAGGAAACUGGGGCUAAUACCGGAUAGGAGCUCCUGCUGCAUGGUGGGGGUUGGAAAGUUUCGGCGGUUGGGGAUUGACUCGCGGCUUAUCAGCUUGUUGGUGGGGUAGUGGCUUACCAAGGCUUUGACGGGUAGCCGGCCUGAGAGGGUGAACGGCGAAAAUGGGAAUGAGAGACGGCCCAGACUCCUACGGGAGGCAGCAGUGGGGAAUAUUGCAAAAUGGGAGGAAGCCUGAUGCAGCAACGCCGCGUGCGGGAUGACGGCCUUCGGGUUGUAAACCGAUUUCGCCUGUGACGAAGCGUGAGUGACGGUAAUGGGUAAAGAAGCACCGGCUAACUACGUG
rnacentral:rRNA from 1 species